GAGCAGGUUUUCUGCCGGCAGCAGUGGGGCAGGUUCUGCCGGGCAGCGGCCAGGGAGCAGAGCAGGAGCAGCAGCAGGAGGCAGGCAGCUCGCUGGGGCUGCCAGAGAACGGGCAGCGUUAGGGCAGUGACAGUGACAGGGCAGGGAUGGGGACUGCCCGAGCCACGACUGUCCCCUCUCUGUGGUGUUCAACUGCCUCCUGCCCUCCUGGCUCAGCCCCACACCCGAGGUGCACCUGGAGCCUCACCCUUCACUGCCUGCACCUCACCUGUGUCCCAGCCAGAUGUGAGUGUCCUCACCCCACCCCUGCCCUGCUCCAGCUCGCAAACUCCCUCCUCUCGCUGCCCAGUGCUACAGAACGAGCCCUGAAAGCACCCAUGCUGCAGGAAUUGCAUGCCCAGCUCCCUCCCAAGCAUUCCCCCCAUCAGUCAGGGAUUCCCAGGGAUUUGCUGCACACUCGGAGCUUCCCAAGAAACCAGCCAGGCCCUCUGUCCUGCCCUAAACCAGGACACCCUCCCACACCCCCAGCCCAACAUCCUGACCUCCCACCCAUCCCCAGGGGCUGCAGCCCCCCAGCCCCACCUUGCUGUUGGGCACCUCCAUCCUUGCUGGGGUCUUCAUGUGGCCGAGCAGCUCUGGGGCAUGUCCCAUCGGCAGCACAGCACCCCGCACUGCCACCGCCCCUUUAUAGGGCCCGGCACAAUGGGGCUGCCAAAAAUACCUGGGCCAGUGGGAGCAGCGAGUGUCCGGGAGACGCGGUAGCCCGGAGACCAUGCAGGCCUUUCCCCUCAUUUGCAGCUCCCCAUUGUGAGGGUGCUCACUGCAAGGGGUGCCUGGCACUAAUGAGGCCAUAAUUGCCCACGGGCUGCGCUGCUGGGCUGGCACAAAGGGCUGAAGGUCAGCGCUGGCCGCUGCUCACAGCCCCAUUAGGCUAAUUAACCCCCCGAACAAAGGGUUAGGCUAAUUAACCCCCCGAACAAAGGGGUGCCAGCAGCUGCACAGCUCCCCGACUGACGUGGGGAGCCAUGGGGAGCUGUCACCCUGUGCUCGGCUGGUGCCAGGGAGGGAUGGUGCCACCAGGGUCCUGUACCCGGUGCCAGGGAGGGACAGUGCCACCAGGGUCCUGUACCCAGUGCCACCAGGAUCCAGUGCCAGGGAGGGAUAGUGUCACCA
rnacentral:lncRNA from 1 species